rnacentral:rRNA from 1 species
GAUGAACGCUGGCGGCGUGCCUAAUACAUGCAAGUCGAGCGAACAGACGAGGAGCUUGCUCCUCUGACGUUAGCGGCGGACGGGUGAGUAACACGUGGAUAACCUACCUAUAAGACUGGGAUAACUUCGGGAAACCGGAGCUAAUACCGGAUAAUAUAUUGAACCGCAUGGUUCAAUAGUGAAAGACGGUUUUGCUGUCACUUAUAGAUGGAUCCGCGCCGCAUUAGCUAGUUGGUAAGGUAACGGCUUACCAAGGCGACGAUGCGUAGCCGACCUGAGAGGGUGAUCGGCCACACUGGAACUGAGACACGGUCCAGACUCCUACGGGAGGCAGCAGUAGGGAAUCUUCCGCAAUGGGCGAAAGCCUGACGGAGCAACGCCGCGUGAGUGAUGAAGGUCUUCGGAUCGUAAAACUCUGUUAUUAGGGAAGAACCAAUGUGUAAGUAACUAUGCACGUCUUGACGGUGCCUAAUCAGAAAGCCACGGCUAACUACGUG